GAAGAAGAAUCCUAGAGUGUCAGCUAAAGACUUACAAAAGUCAUUGGCAAAUGCUAACAUCCCUGUUAGCGAAUCUACAAUAUGUAAAACACUAAACAAGAAUUGAUUUCAUGAGAGGAUACCACAGAGGAAGCCACUGCUGUCCAAACAAAACAUUGCUGCACGUUUACAGUUUGCACAAGAGCACCCGGAUGUUCCACAGCAGUACUGGCAAAAUAUUCUGUGGACAGAUGAAAGUUGAGUUGUUUGGAAGAAACACACGACACUAUGUGUGGCAAAAAAAAAGGCACAGCACACCAACAUCAAAACCUCAUCCCAACUGUGAAGUAUGGUGGUGGGGGCAUCCUGGUUUGGGGCUGCUUUGCUGCGUCAGGGCCUGGACGGAUUGC